UCAAGAUUUAAACCUGUCAUCCUUGACAUUUGGGGCAGAAACUGCUGAAAUGAAGGAGGACUUGCCAUCAAAGAACUGGCUGAAAGGAGUUAGCACACCACUCCUCUGCCCUGAACAGUUCUAAGCAAGAGGAGGAGCCUGUGGCAGGGCGUGAUAUGAAGUCCUCAGAGAUAGAGUGCCAAGAGUAGAGGGAGUAUCCUGGAACUUCAGUGUUUGCAGAAAAAUUCUUCUGGGGAAUAAAGCAUAGAGAAAUGAAGAGCUAAGAUACAGAGGAGCUUCCCAAGACCAUGUUUGAACAUUUGUAAACAGCCAUGCCUGGACUUCUGAGUUAAACGAUGAUUAUACAAAGGCUGAUACAGAGCACCCAUGUGGAGGGGUCACAGAAGUGACUUGCUGCUUCAAGCUGACCUCUGAAGCGAGUAUACACAGGCCACUUGUACAUUCUUCAUCAAAUCAUUAAGAAGUCAAAUGAAAAUGACCAACCACUGUCUCUGACAUUUAUUAUAUAUAUGAAAGGCAUUUAGGAGAUGUAAAGACCAGGCAAUUGUGAAACAACUAUAAAGAUGCAAGACUGAAAGCCUCAAGAGUGACAUUCAGCUGCUCAGUUAUGCCAGCAAAAUGGAUUAGUAGAAGAUUCUAAGUUAUGGUGACUGAGUGAAGGAGAUGAUUGCUGGAAGAAUUAAAGCUGGCUGUCUGGAAGGAAUUUAGGAAGACGUAGUGGUUAUAUAAUACUGAAAUCCUAGGAAACUGGAGAGUAUGUAUUCUUGGCUUAUCAUUUAUUUCUGUUUGGAAAUGAUGGGGCAUUAUGAAGCUUUCCUAGAAGUUCCUAAAGGAGAAGUCAAGCAGCAGACACAUCUUCAUAAUGAUUCAGAAGACCUUCAGCUUACGGAGUGAAGCUUUACUGUGAACGGAGAGUAUUAUGCAGACAUAGCCUGCAGAGGAACUGCUGGGCAGAUUGGUGUCCAUAUGAAUUCCUUUGGCAAGAUGUACUAAAAGUUCUGGACUUGUGAAGUUAAAAUCUGGUAACAAAUGAGCUUAAUGAAUCAGAGAGAUGCAAACUUCAGCUGCAUGUGUAUGGGACGUGUCCUGUUAACAUUGAGAAUUACUCUUGGUUUAUGAUACUGCAAAAGUGCAGCUAAGCCAGACCAUAACUCUAGUGCCUCUGAUCAGGGCAAAAUUAGGGUUAAAUAGAACAAGGUUCUAUGGUGAGUAAGAUGAACCAAAAGACUCAUGGUAUCAGUUUUUAAAAUGAUUUCUCUCUUUCUUGCUCUUGGGCUUAUUUGCAUUUCCAUAAUUCCUUAAUCCCAGAAUAAAUUUAUUUUUUAAAAUAUAA
rnacentral:lncRNA from 1 species